rnacentral:tRNA from 1 species
GGUGGCACAGCGGUUAAGCAUUUGGCUGCUAACCAAAAGGUCAGCGGUUCAAAUCAACCGCUCC